rnacentral:rRNA from 1 species
UACGAAGGGGGCGAGCGUUGUUCGGAUUUACUGGGCGUAAAGGGCGCGCAGGCGGCGAGUUUUGUCAGGCGUGAAAGCCCCGGGCUCAACCUGGGAAUUGCGCUUGAAACGGGCUUGCUAGAGAUCGGGAGAGGAGAGUGGAAUUCCCAGUGUAGAGGUGAAAUUCGUAGACAUUGGGAAGAACACCGGUGGCGAAGGCGGCUCUCUGGACCGAUACUGACGCUGAGGCGCGAAAGCGUGGGGAGCAAACAGG